rnacentral:rRNA from 1 species
ACGGCGUAAAGCUGUCGCUAAAAGGGAUGGACCUGCGAUGCAUUAGCUAGUUGGUAAGGUAACGGGGCUUACCAAGGCGAUGAUGCAUAGCCCGAGUUGAGAGACUGAUCGGCCACAUUGGGGACUGAGACACGGGCCCAAACUCCUACGGGAGGCAGCAGUAGGGAAUCUUCCACAAUGGACGAAAGUCUGAUGGAGCAAACGCCGCGUGAGUGAAGAAGGUUUUCGGAUCGUAAAGCUCUGUUGUUGGUGAAGAAGGAUAGAGGUAGUAACUGGCCCUUUAUUUGACGGUAAUCAACCAGAAAGUCACGGGCUAACUACGUGCCAGCAGCCGCGGUAAAU